rnacentral:tRNA from 1 species
GGCUCCGUAGCUCAGGGGAUAGAGCGUCGGUUUCCUAAACCGUGCGUCGCAGGUUCGAAUCCUGCCGGGGCCA